UACGAAGGGAGCUAGCGUUACUCGGAAUCACUGGGCGUAAAGAGUGCGUAGGCGGUUUUGUAAGUCAGAAGUGAAAGCCCGGGGCUCAACCUCGGAAUUGCUUUUGAAACUGCAUAACUAGAGUAUCAUAGGGGAUAGCGGAAUUCCUAGUGUAGAGGUGAAAUUCGUAGAUAUUAGGAGGAACACCGGUGGCGAAGGCGGCUAUCUGGAUGAUAACUGACGCUGUUGCACGAAAGCGUGGGGAGCAAACAGG
rnacentral:rRNA from 1 species